UGCUUUUCAUGAGGGCCUUCUUGUCCUGU
rnacentral:piRNA from 1 species